UCCUGCCAGUAGUGUAUGCUUCUCCUAAAGACUAAGCCAUGCAUGCCCUCGAAUAGAAGAGCAAUAUCUCUCCGAAUCUGCGGACGGGCUCCGCACACCAGUUGUAACACAAUGGCAAGCCGGUUUUCGAGAUCGCCGCAAGGUGUUUCUUGGGGACCACAAGGCUAUCCCUGGCAAUUCUGAGGCUAAUACAAGAACAUACCACCCUUUGGCUGACCGGGCAACGGGGACGCUGGGUGCGGUGUAAGACCCUCGCUAAGGUUGCUAUGAGAAGCUGCACGCUCUGACCCACUGCAAAAAACGGGCUCGCUUGUGAACNCUUCGGGGGAUCGGGCUUGCUUGAGUGGCUCUUGCAAUGUGCUUCUGACCUAUCAACUAGAUGGCAGCGUAAGGGACAUGCUAUGGUGACAACGGGUACAGAGGAUAAGGGUUCGAUCCUGGAGAGUGGGCCUGAGAGAUUGCUCACACNUUCUAAGGAAGGCAGCAGGCGGCGCAACGUUCCCAUUGGACUCCGUCCGAGGGCGUUAGGGGAAAUAUGAAUGUCUGCCUUAUGGUGGACAAUUCAAAUGGGACUGUUCUAAACAGCCCAUCGNGUAACAAUUAGAGGACAAGUCUGGUGCCAGCACCCGCGGUAAUUCCAGCUCUAAUAGCAUACGUUAAAGUUGUUGCAGUUAAAACGCUCGUAGUCGGCACGAGACCUUCAGAUGCUUCGGAUCGUGAUCCUGUUUGCUGCUUUCUCAAGCGUGCAUCGGAGGAUCGAACUGGAGUUUGACGUCGGUCGCAUGUGCCUAGGGCCACUCUCCGGAGUAAAAGGUACCUGGCUUCGGCUGGGAACCCGGUCCGCGCGCCAUUUACCAUGAUUAAACUGGGGUGAUCGAAGCAUGACGCUUACGUCGCGUACAGGAUAGCAUGGGUAUAAGCUCGACUGGCUUGGGAGUUGCGAACCAGGCUAGUAAUCGCGAAGAGGAUGUUCGAGGGUGACCGAAUUGCCGGGCGAGCGGUGAAAUGCGUUGACCCUGGCAAGUCGACCAAAGGCGAAAGCAGUCAUCAAGGGCAUACCUGUCGAUCAAGAGCGAAAGUCAAGGGCUCGAAGACGAUCAGAUACCGUCGUAGUCUUGACUAUAAACGAUACAGACCAGGGAUAGGACUCUGUCCAUCCCGACUUCUCCUGAAUCUUGAAGAAAUUACCAGUCUUUGGGUUCCGGGGGGAGUAUGGUCGCAAGGCUGAAACUUAAAGGAAUUGACGGAAGGGCACACAAAGAGUGGAACCUGCGGCUUAAUUUGACUCAACACGGGAAAACUCACCAGGUCCAGAUACACGUAUGAAAGUCAAGCUGAAAGACUUUACUCAAUGAUGUAAGUGGUGGUGCAUGGUCGUUCGUAGUUCGUGGAUUGAUUUGUCUGGUCUAUUCCGAUAACGAGCGAGACCCCAACGUUCCUAAUAGGGGCGACAGCCCGGCUUGCCGCAAGGCUUGCCAGCAGUUGCCUAAGAUUCACUUCUUAGACGUAUCAGGGCCGAUAAGGUCCUUGAAAUGGGUUAAUAACAGGUCAGUCAUGCCCUUAGAUGUUCUGGGCCGCACGCGCGUUACAAUGGCACGUUGCAAAACGUGCCUUCAGUGGUUUCCCCUCGGUCGAAAGGCCUUGGUAACCGCUAACCCUUUGCUAUGACUGGGAUAGAUCAUUGCAAUUAUUGGUCUCUAACGAGGAAUUUUUAGUAAUCGCAGGUCAUUAACCUGCGAUGAAUCUGUCCCUGCCCUUUGUACACACCGCCCGUCGCUGCUACCGAUUGGGUUUUACAGUUACGCGUUUGGAGGUCGUGGCUUUCCUUGCUUGCCCUUUGGGUAGGCAUGAGCCGUGGCUGAAAUUCUAACUACUGUACGGCCUAGAGGAAGCAGAAGU
rnacentral:rRNA from 1 species